AAUCAACGCUGGCGGCGUGCCUCAGACAUGCAAGUCGAACGAUUAAAGCUCCCUUCGGGGAGUGCAUAAAGUGGCGCACGGGUGAGUAACACGUAAGUAAUCUACCCUCGAGUGGGGAAUAACGUCCGGAAACGGACGCUAAUACCGCAAAAUGCAGUGGCACCGCAAGGUGACAGUUGUUAAAGAUUUAUCGAUUGAGGGGGAGCUUGCGGCCGAUUAGCUAGUUGGUAAGGUAAUGGCUUACCAAGGGCGCGAUCUGGAACCGGUCUAAGAGGACGGUCGGCCACACUGACACUGAAUAACGGGUCAAACGCCUACGGGAGGCAGCAGUCGGGAAUAUUGGACAAUGGGCGAAAGCCUGACCCAGCAACGCCGCGUGAAGGAUGAAGUAUUUCGGUAUGUAAACUUCGAAAGAAUGGGAAGAAUAAAUGACGGUACCAUUUAUAAGCGCCGGCUAACUACGUGCCAGCAGCCGCCGUAAGAC
rnacentral:rRNA from 1 species